rnacentral:rRNA from 1 species
GACGUAGGCGCGAGCGUUGUCCGGAUUUAUUGGCGUAAGAGCUCGUAGGCGGCUUGUCGCGUCGACUGUGAAAUCCCGCGGCUCAACUGCGGGUCUGCAGUCGAUACGGGCAGGCUAGAGUUCGGUAGGGGAGACUGGAAUUCCUGGGUGUAGCGGUGAAAUGCGCAGAUAUCAGGAGGGAACACCCGGUGGCGAAGGCGGGUCUCUG